UCUCUAAGGUACUCCAACAGGGAAAAUCCAAGAUACAACAGAUAAGAUAUCCCUGGAACCAUCCAAACAGAUGAGGCAAGAGCUGAAGGAACCCCUGCAGACAAGAGAAGAGAUGGACAUAGAGCUUCAGUGGAAGGUGGCAAUUCCUGAAGGAAGCACUCCAUCUUCAAUGCGAGCCCCAGCUGCAGGAAGGAAGGCAAAGCCAGACACGGGCACAGGCACAGCAGACUGGGAUGCUGGGACGGUUCCUCCAUUAGCCUGGCGCUCUGAAGUUGUGAAGCCCUCUGGGCAUUCUGCAGCCGUGUCUGCAGGGACGACCUCACCAACUCCUACCUUGGAUGCUGCACAAAAGGCCAGCUCCCAUGGCAGGGGU